rnacentral:tRNA from 1 species
GGAGAGGUCGCAUAGUGGUCGAGUGCACGUCGUUGGAAACGACGCAAGCCUUUACCGGCUUCGAGGGUUCGAAUCCCUCUCUCUCCGCCA